GACGAACGCUGGCGGUGUGCUUAACACAUGCAAGUCGAACGGAAAGGCCCUUUCGGGGGUACUCUGGUGGCAAACGGGUGCGUAACACUUACGUAACCUUCCCUCAUCUCUGGGAUAACAGUCGCUACCGGUUGCUAAAACUGAUUAUGAACUUGCUUGUCAUCUUGUGGGUUGGAAAGAUUUUUUGGGUUGGGCUUUGACUCGCUGCGUAUUCGCUUCUUGGUGAGGUAGUGGCUCACCAAAGCUUCUACGGGGAGCCGGCCUGAGAGAGCGACCGGCCACAUUGGGACUGAGAGGCGGCCCAAACUCGGAAGGGAGGCAGCAGGGGGGAAGAUUGCACGAUGGACGGAAGUCUGAUGCAGCAACGCCGCGGACGGGAAGACGGUCUUAGGGUGGAAAACCGUAUUUAAUUGUGACGAAGCUUUUUGUGACGGUAGCAGUACAAGAAGCACCGGCUAACUACGUG
rnacentral:rRNA from 1 species